CUGGUUGAUCCUGCCAGUAGUCAUAUGCUUGUCUCAAAGAUUAAGCCAUGGCAUGUGUAAGUAUGAACUAAUUCAGACUGGUGAAACUGCGAAUGGCUCAUUAAAUCAGUUAUAGUUUGUUUGAUGGUACCUACUACUCGGAUAACCGUAGUAAUUCUAGAGCUAAUACGGUGCAACAAACCCCGACUUCUGGAAGGGAUGCAUUUAUUAGAUAAAAGGUCGACGCGGGCUUGCCCGGGGCGGCGAGGAUCAUGAGAACUCGACGGAUCGCACGGCCGGAGCGCCGGCGACGCAGCAGGCAAAGGGCUGCCCGAGCAACUUUCGAUGGGGAGGAGAGUGGCCUACCAGGGGGGACGGGGACGGAGAAGGAGGGGGCGAGCCGGAGAGGGAGCCGGAGAAACGGCUACCACAGCCAAGGAAGGCAGCAGCGCGCGCAAAGGACCCAAUCCGGACACGGGGAGGAGGGACAAGAAAUAACAAGACCGGGCGCGAGCGAGGCGGGGAAGGGGAAGGAGGACAAGCGAAAGCCCGGAACGAGGAUCCAGGGGAGGGCAAGGCGGGGGCCAGCAGCCGCGGAAGGCCAGCGCCAAGAGCGAGA
rnacentral:ncRNA from 1 species